UCGCCACCUAGCGCCUCUACAAAUCGCGACUGAUACGCCUUGCCGUUGAACAUCCGUCCAAGAUAACAUAAUGCGAUCAGGUCGAAUCAUAAAUUAAUUCAAGAGUCUCCAUUCGAUACGAGAUUAUUAUUGGUUGGAACCUUAUUUUUCGCCGUUUGUUAUACAUUCCAUUUGCAGAUACAAAAUGGAGUGAAAGAUGCAAAAAAUCGCGUGUUAAUGCGGUCAAAAUUAAAUCGAGAUCGCACACGAUACCAAACUCAAAGGCACGAUGGAGUUUGUUUCGAAACACGCUGAAAGGUCCAUUGAAAAUUUUCGCCUGGACCGAUUUGAUUGAUACAGGAUAUGAAUAUCUUCGAAACUUGAUCUUGGAAAGGGGAAAAUGUCCACGUUUAUGAUUUGUUUACGCUGCACCGAUCGAAAUUGGCCGCGGGAUUAUGAAAAACGGUAACAAAUCGUGGGCGGAAUAAUAUGGACCAGGAUUAGAAACCCCUGGCUAAGCUGAAGCAGAGUACGAGCGUUGAAAGUUGUAUGCUGCCUAGGUUCUAAACUGUCCAAACUAUGUGGAUGAUGGGAAUAGAAAAAAAAUGGUGCGAAGCGUAAGAUGAAGGAUAUUUUUAUGGGUUUAAGUCAGCACAUUAAGGGAUUAAUUGUUACCUUUUUACGCUUGCCAUUAAACCAGGAAAAUUAAAAAAAUAAUAUAACAUUUGUUAAAAACAAAAAUGUUUUCAUUACUCCGUUGAAAAUCAACGGUGCGGAAAGAACGAUUGAAAAUGAACGUUACAGCGUAAAAAUGAACCUUACGAAAACGCGCUCAUGAAAUCAUGAAUCUCACGCACACACUCUCAAAAAACGGCUUCACAAGAUCUGCUGUGAAGCUUUUGUGAAGCCGCUUGUGAAGCCGUGAAUUUUACUCGAAAUUCACUCUCAGGCGAGCAGUUUGUCGAUAG